UACAGAGGGGGCAAGCGUUGUUCGGAAUUACUGGGCGUAAAGGGCGCGUAGGCGGCCUGCUAAGUCGAACGUGAAAUCCCUGGGCUCAACCCAGGAACUGCGUCCGAUACUGUCGAGCUCGAGUCCGGAAGAGGAGUGUGGAAUUCCUGGUGUAGCGGUGAAAUGCGCAGAUAUCAGGAGGAACACCAAUGGCGAAGGCAGCACUCUGGGACGUGACUGACGCUGAGACGCGAAAGCGUGGGGAGCAAACAGG
rnacentral:rRNA from 1 species